GAUGAACGCUGGCGGCGUGCCUAAUACAUGCAAGUCGAGCGAACAGAUAAGGAGCUUGCUCCUUUGACGUUAGCGGCGGACGGGUGAGUAACACGUGGGUAACCUACCUAUAAGACUGGAAUAACUCCGGGAAACCGGGGCUAAUGCCGGAUAACAUUUAGAACCGCAUGGUUCUAAAGUGAAAGAUGGUUUUGCUAUCACUUAUAGAUGGACCCGCGCCGUAUUAGCUAGUUGGUAAGGUAACGGCUUACCAAGGCAACGAUACGUAGCCGACCUGAGAGCGUGAUCGGCCACACUGGAACUGAGACACGGUCCAGACUCCUACGGGAGGCAGCAGUAGGGAAUCUUCCGCAAAGGGCGAAAGCCUGACGGAGCAACGCCGCGUGAGUGAUGAAGGUCUUCGGAUCGUAAAACUCUGUUAUUAGGGAAGAACAAAUGUGUAAGUAACUGUGCACGUCUUGACGGUACCUAAUCAGAAAGCCACGGCUAACUACGUG
rnacentral:rRNA from 1 species